CUACGGGCUGCAGCAGUCAAGAAUCUUCCACAAUGGGCGAAAGCCUGAUGGAACGACGCCGCGUGAUUGAAGAAGCCCUUCGGGGUGUAAAGAUCUUUUAUUAGGGAAGAACCUAUGACGGUACCUAAUGAAUAAGGGGCUGCUAAACUCGUGCCAGCAGCAGCGGUAAUACGAGUGCCCCGAGCGUUAUCCGGAAUUAUUGGGCGUAAAGCGUGGGUAGCCGGCUUUGUAAGUCUGACGUCAAAUCUUGAGACUCAAUUUCAAGACUGCGUUGGAAACUGCAUUGCUAGAGGACGGGAGAUGCAAGUAGAAUUGUCGGUGUAACGGUAAAAUGUGUUAAUAUCGACAAGAAUACCAAAUGCGAAGGCAUCUUGCUGGAACGUUCCUGACGGUGAGCCACGAAAGCGUGGGUAGCGAAUGGGAUUAGAUACCCCGGUAGUC
rnacentral:rRNA from 1 species